rnacentral:rRNA from 1 species
CACGCCGUAAACGAUGAAUACUAGGUGUGGGGGUUGUCAUGACCUCCGUGCCGCCGCUAACGCAUUAAGUAUUCCGCCUGGGGAGNGCAACGCGAAGAACCUUACCUAGACUUGACAUCUCCUGAAUUACUCUGUAAUGGAGGAAGCCCUUCGGGGCAGGAAGACAGGUGG